UGGAUAUCCAGAACUUCUCUGGGCAACCUGUGCCAGUGUCUCACCAACCUCACAGUAAAGAAUUUCUUCCUAGUGCCUAAUCUAAACUUACCCUCUUUCAGUUGGAAGUCAUUCCCCCUUGUCCUAUCACUACAUGCCCUGUUAAAAAGCGCCUCUUCCUGUUUCUUUUGUGCUCCCCUCGGGUACUGGAAGGCCACAUGACCGUGCUGAGUUUGAGCUUGGAUACAUAAGGAAGAUCUGUCCCCAUCAGCUCAUGGCAUCAAACACCAUCACACAAGUUACUGUUACUUCCUGUUUACAUAUUGCUUUGCUGCAGGUUGGCUGUUACCCACCUUUUGCCACUCUAAAUGCAAGAUGCCUGCCCUGAGCACUGAAGGAGUUAGGCAAGUAUGAACUGUUAUCUUCAUUGUGCAACACAUUUGACAGGUGCCCAAGAGCACAAUUUGGGAGGUGUCAGUGCUCAGCACUAUUUGUGGCUCAGUAUUGAAAAGAUAUAAAUAAACAAAGACUAUGAAGUGGAACUAGCUACAUUUCUUGAUAUAGAAACAUGAGACAGGUACAGGGCCAAGUAGAAGGAGUGGAAGUUUUCCAAAACUGGGAACUGUUUGAGCCCUAUCAAUACAGCCUGAGGUAAGCUCCCACAGCCAACUCAGGAUUAGAUCUGUGCAGAAAUAAAUGCCAGGAAGCCUGGCACUCCUGAACUUGCCUUGCAGAAGGGGGUGGAGUAGGAAAAGCAUUAGGCUAUUUUCUCCUGGAUCAUUGGUUUCUAUGGUUUCAAGGAGACCUUGCUCAUCCAGGUAUAAAAUAUGAGUUAACUCCACAGCUAACUUGCAUUUAAGCAGAUCAGGAACAAUGUAUAAAGUGAAAAUGUGGAAAACUGAUCCAGCCUAUUUAACUUACGCCAUGCCACCUUCAACCUUAAUAGAAGCUUAAUACAAGCAUUUAAAAUUCUCCCUGACUUCACAGAGCUUCAUCUGUGUAUGAAAGAAUAUGAGCCUUCCUUGACAACCAGUGUAAGAUGAGCAAGAUCCCUGGAACUAAAGGCUCGUCUCCAAUUUCCAAAGCACCCAGGAUCCACUUGACACCCACAUGGUGAAGGUUGGAGGGGUGAGUGGUAUGAGGCACAGCCACGCCUGGUGUGGUGGUGUUUCCAUGGUGUGCUGCACAGCCCUUUCUGACAGCCUCCUGUCACUGAGGAAAAUGGAAUAGCUUAGGCUUGUUGUGGCUUGUUACCACCUCACCCUGACAGUAGCACCUAGUUUUGUUUUCUUUCAUCAUCCUUCCACAAAGCAGUCCCUUUCUGGGUGAUAUGGAAAGGAGGGAGGUGUGAGUAGGGGCACACAGAGGCAAGGCAAAACAAAGGGGGCAAAGGGAAGGUUUUUCUGUCUUCUUCACCCUUCUUUUUUUUUCAAUUAGGGGCCAAGACAGCCCUUCAGCAGGGCCUUCUCCUCCACAGAACCCGACAGCCACCUCUGCUCAUCUCCACCCAGCCAUGGGUCUCGGACCCCUCCAACAGGCCCACUGGCAUUCCCUGCCCUCUCCAGCUGUGCAGAGCAAGGGUGCUCACUGAAAGCUCCAGAAGGAAAACAGGGUAAGUGGAGAGAGAAAAAGGAAGGACAAGUGCAAUGAGUGGCAGAAUGCUUUGGGAUGAAGACACACUUCAGAAACCGCAGUUCAGAGCAGUACUAAGCUUAACAAAAAUAGCUCAUCAUUUGUAUCCUAUGAUGAUACUGGAUGUGCAUCUACCAUUGACUGAGUCAGCGAGAUCCCAUUUCUCUGAAAGCUCUUGCUCUCAUUCUUGGCCAUAAAGCCACAUAAAUAACAUAUGGUACAUACAGCAUCAUUGACACCUGCCAAAGCUUUGAAAUACUUACAAGCUAACUACUAAAGCCAAGCCACCUGUCCAGUGACUUCCACUUGAGUUGUUCCAUUUCAUAAUCCCUAUAUUAUUACGUUGAUGGAACGCCAUAAAUCUACAUAGUCAGAGAAGACAUUCCAUCUGCCCUGAAGAAAUUACUCUCUGGAGAAGAUGAGUGAACUCACAGCAAAACCCCUCAAGAGGUAGCUCAUCUGAGCCUCAGAAGUUGCUUGGAGAAGGAGGACUGAGGGAAACACUAGCACUGCAGCUUUUCCUUUGUGGUUUGCUGUAUGAACACGAGAGAAGGAUGGUGACAUAUAUUAGGGAUUC